rnacentral:rRNA from 1 species
GACAGAGGGUGCAACCGUUGUUCGGAAUUACUGGGCGUAAAGAGUGUGUAGGCGGUGCUCUAAGUUCGGUGUGAAAUCUCCCGGCUUAACUGGGAGGGUGCGCCGGAAACUGGAGUGCUUGAGCGCGGGAGAGGAAAGCGGAAUUCCUGGUGUAGCGGUGAAAUGCGUAGAUAUCAGGAGGAACACCUGUGGUGUAGACGGCUUUCUGGACCGUAGCUGACGCUGAGACACGAAAGCGUGGGUAGCAAACAGG